GUUAGAGUGUAGAGGUGGCAGGGUAGCCUAGUGGUUAGAGUGUAGAGCUGGCAGGGUAGCCUAGUGGUUAGAGUGUAGAGCUGGCAGGGUAGCCUAGUGGUUAGAGUGUAGAGCUGGCAGGGUAGCCUAGUGGUUAGAGUGUAGAGCUGGCAGGUAGCCUAGUGGUUAGAGUGUAGAGGUGGCAGGUAGCCUAGUGGUUAGAGUGUAGAGGUGGCAGGUAGCCUAGUGGUUAGAGUGUAGAGGCGGCAGGUAGCCUAGUGGUUAGAGUGUAGAGGUGGCAGGUAGCCUAGUGGUUAGAGUGUAGAGCUGGCAGGGUAGCCUAGUGGUUAGAGUGUAGAGGUGGCAGGUAGCCUAGUGGUUAGAGUGUAGAGGUGGCAGGUAGCCUAGUGGUUAGAGU